UCCUCUCGGAAUCGCCGGCAGAUGUCACUCGUCUCCUUGAGGCUUCGUGCACGGUUCAUAAAAGAAGAAGAACGUGGAGGAAAUAUGACAACAGGCUGACUCGGUAAACAGAAAGCGAGCUGGCCCUUUAAAAAACCCCUGUGGUCCUUUAAAAACCAGGCCCUUGGUGUUAAACAAUGAACCAGUCAAAAUGGGGCAGACCCUGUGCAUAUGCUCCCGUGGCUCCAUCACCAUCGAUAACAAAAAAUAUUACUUUGUCCAGAAACUAGAUGAAGGUGGGUUCAGUUAUGUUGAUCUGGUAGAGGGGGUAAAGGAUGGGCGCUUUUAUGCCCUUAAGAGGAUCCUGUGCCAUGACCGCGAAGGCCGCCAGGAGGCUCAGACAGAGGUGGAGAUGCAUCAGAUGUUUAAUCACCCCAACAUCUUGAGCCUGGUCGCACACACCUUUGUUGAUCGCGGAGGCAAGAGUGAAGCCUGGUUACUUUUGCCUUAUAUUAGCAAAGGCAGUCUGUGGUCUGUUCUGGAGAAGCUAAGAGACAAGGGGAGCUCAAUGCCCGAAAAACAGAUUUUGCAAAUUUUGCGUGGCAUCUGCUCUGGACUCAAGGCCAUUCAUGAAAAAGGCUAUGCACACAGAGAUCUGAAGCCCACAAAUGUGCUUCUGGAUGAGGAUGACAAGCCAGUUCUGAUGGACCUGGGCUCUAUGAAUCGUGCCAGGAUUGAGGUUAGAGGUACCAGGGAAGCAAUGACCAUACAGGACUGGGCAGCCCAGCGGUGCACCAUUUCCUACAGGGCCCCUGAACUCUUCAAUGUAGAGAGCCACUGCAUUAUAGACGAACGCACUGAUAUCUGGUCACUUGGCUGUGUACUUUACUGCAUGAUGAUGUUGGAGGGACCAUAUGACCUGGUAUUUCAGAAGGGGGACAGUGUUGCCCUUGCUGUCCAGAAUCCAGUGGCCAUCCCACAGUCUUGCAGUUACUCAGAGGGCCUACAGAUGCUGCUCAGCUCCAUAAUGGUGUCAAACCCGCAGGAGAGACCAAACAUCAACUGGGUUCUUGACCAGAUUUGCCCCGGUUAGCUGUGACUGCUGUACUACAUUAUGACGUGGAGAUGUCCAGAAGCCACAGCAGCUCAGCUAUGAAGUGAUGGGCCACAGAGGCUCACGCGCUGAGCAGGAUUACAGAAAGAGUGCUGAAUGGAUUUACACCAAACUUGGUGGAGGGAUGGGGCAUGGCCCGUGGAAGAACCCAUUAAAUGUUGGUGCGGAUCUGGUUAAGAGGGUUGAUCCUGGCGGAUCCCGGCAUUUUUCCCCUUGGCAGAGGUAUGCACACUACUCAUAACCAGAUGCAAAAUUAGCCUCUUUAAAAUUAACUGAACUGAUUCUAUUAGUGUUAAUAUUUGAUCUUAUUUGAAUGUUAACUCCAGUGAAGGUGGCUUUGCAGCCAUGUUGCCAGCAGUGUGUCGACAUAUCUGUCGUUUUCUUUUCACCAAGAUUUAGUUGAAACAUUUUGUCAAAAACACAAAUAUUUAUGAUUAACACAAAUGGAUAAUUGAAAAAAAAAAACUGUUGCUUCUUAGGGGGCAAAGCAGCUAGGACACACAAAAGGAGAUUCACAUCCAGUAGGCUAGAUGUCAUAUGGCAAAGCUCAAUAUUGGUUAAUAAAUGAUGGGUACUGGGUACAGAGACUCAAAGAGAGGUAAAGCUCUCAUAAAUUACCUUUAUCUCUUUAAUGAGACAACAUUAAUUUUGGUCUCAAGGUCUGGCAGAAAACGAGCUGAUUUAUUGUCUGCCUUUAACGUUGUGGGAAUUAGUCUAAUUACCAGGGGUAUGGAGAGCUGAUUUUCCCUUCACAGCAAGCCCAUUGUGCAUCGGACUCAUUUAUCACAGCCGCGUUCCUGAGGUUGUACUCCACGCCUGGUGGGAAAACUGGUGUUGGUCCACAGCUUCCCUGAAAGCUACAUGUGUCCCAGCAAGCCUGACAGGGGAGCAGAUACAGGAAUGUGCACAUGUAGCGGGUCAGAUUCCGCUUUGUGUUAUGUAUAAGGUAAGGACUUCCCAUGCAAGACUGUCUUAGAGCAGCAACAGUAGCUGCAGCUGUGAAGAAUCCAUCCACAGGGUUGCUCUUGCAUAAAUGCUCUCUGCACCUUCAAAGGGUAAAGUUCAUAAAGAAAAGAGAUAAUGCACAGUAGCGUUACUGCUACACACAUGCUGUGACAAACUUGUCUCCUAAUUAGAAGAUUUAGGCAAGAAAAUAGAAAAAACUACCGUUCUAAAAUGUAAAAUUGUCCAUGCGUUGACUUCACACUUGUUUAAUUAAGUUAUAUAACUUUAUUAAGUUAUAAAGCAAAAACACCAAAAUUGAAGAGACAAACAAAAAACUUUCCCAAGUAGAAGUAAGGCUCACAAACGGGCGUCAAGUACAGUUUGUGUAAUAAGACAAUCGCAAUACAUCCGCAUAGGAUUUUACAGGGAUAUACAAUACUCUGUUCAUAAUAUAGCACAGCAACAUCACACUACUACACACACAUGAACAAACCCACACCAUCAAAGCGGGAUGAGUCCAACAUAUCUGUAAAAUUAUCUUUCAGCGAAUCAUUGAAAGAAUCUGUGUCAUUCACUGUCCAUUGUACGGGUUUGACAUAUUUUCCACUUUAUCAGACAAUCUCCCGAAAUCUUUUUUCAUUUCAGCUCCCGAACUUUCUUUAGUCUCAUCUAUCAACAGCACGAAGGGUCUUAUCAGUGGGUUAAAUAAACCAGCGAGGAUCAGUGACCUAGUGGGAGUCAGCACUGUGCUGACGAGGCCAGCACACGGAGAGCACAAGAGCACACCUGGAUUGGUUUUAGGACAGGGCAAGCUGCCUCAGAACUGUGGUAAUGAUUGAAAAAUAUGCCUGUAAUUGCUGAUAAGCCCUUUAAUGUUUCAGUAAACUCUUUUAGGCCGCUGAGUUUACUGACCCAUAACUCGUCAAUAAACUCCGUCUUUGUAGUGUAACGUCAAGGGCUGGCGGCUUCUUUGAACCAAUUGUCCUCUCGUGGUGUGAAGGGCGUGUGGUGCAUUUAGAGAGUUCUGAAAAGGGUUCAAGAGGACAUGUGCUUGUGAGGACGUGUGACAGAGAACAGGAAAGGAGGUAAAUAGGUUUUACGUUGGUUAGAUCCGAUUCAGAAGAGACCCUGAAAGAUUUUUCCCUAAUGGAUAUAGGAUCCCAUUACUAUCCUAGCUGUUUACGGAUGUAAAGCAAAAGGGAAACAAGUCAAAGGGUUCACAGUGAGGCUAGCAGCUGUUUGAGGCUCUACUCGUCCACAGCAGUGCUUUGAGCUAAAUGCUAAUGUCAACAUGCUAACAUGCUGAUGUUUAUCAGGUAUAAUGUUUAUCAAUCACAAUCUUAUUUCAAUGUGUUAGCAUGCCAGCAUUUGCUAAUUAGCACUAAAUACAAAGUACAGCUGAGGCUGAUGUCCUUAGUUGUCCAGAUAUUUGGUCAUAAACCAUAUUUGGCGGAUUAGAAUUUUCGACCUGAUGAUGGAGCUACGUGAAAAGUGAAAAGUGAUGGCAAUCCAUCCAAUCGUUGUUGAAAUAUUUUACUCUGGACCAAAGUGGCGCUCUGACUGAAACUGCCACACUGCCGGCAUGGCUAAAAACGCUGGACGUAGAUAUCUCUGUAAUAUCAGGCUGCAAAUAUAUUUGUCACCUUGCACUUCGAAGGGCAAAUUAUAACAACUUCUCGAUUUAAAUGUGGUCCAUGGGCUACGGGAAGGAAGGGGGUGAACUGUACCAGCAAACUCCCGAGGAAAUGUAUUGCACCUGCCACACAGGAGGGUGCGAUAGAUAAAUGCUCAUCUUGGGCUGCAAAUUGGUGACAUGGCGUCGGGGGCACCACAAGGCGGGAUUACCAGCUGGCUAAAAUGUCCCCCCAGGCGCCCCACAAUCCCUGGGUUACCUGAAUGUCAGUCAGCUGAUGGAUUGAAAGUUUGUUUGGCAAUUUGCAGCAGUCAAGUUCAGUGUCGACUAAGACAAGUUGCGCGUUAAUCCUUCAGCCCUGUCUUGAGGAGAGGCCGUACUUCAAAUUAAAUUUCAAUACCUCCAUUAUUUUUAUGUUUCCUCUCAUUGUGCAUUUUCCCAAAAUACAACUCUGCCUAAUGAAAUGAACCCCCUAGAGGCCCAACAACAAAACGUGCUUGGCCCCCAAACAGGUUAAUCCCGCCAAGACUCCCCACAUCUCACAGAAACCUUUUAAAAAUCAUUAUUUACUUACUAACUUGUUUUUUUUGUUGCUUGCUUUAUAAGUUUGAAUCAUUUAACUUAACGCUACUCAAUCCAUCCUUGCAACGUUUUGAUGGUUGUCCGAUGUAGACCCAAAUGAGCCUUUCAAAUACUCCAGAAGAAUUGAUGGCAUUCGGGGGGCUUUUUUUUUUUCUGUUUUAAUUAUUAAAAACGACUAGGGCUGUAUUGGACUAGGCAUGACCUGAGUGCACAUAGCUUACAGCACCAUUUGAUCCCUUCCAGGAGGAAGACGGCGCUGCUGAGACGAAGCCAGCUGACACUGGAGGCUGGGGCGCAGUUUCGGGCACUGAUUCAAUUUAAUUUGUGCGCCUCUGUCAACAGGCCCGGGUGACGGAUUUACCCGUGGCCUGGCUAUUUAAAUUACUUUCAAAUCAUAAAAGCAAGGAAACGUGGCUUUGGAGGGGAAGAGGCUGGGAGAAACAGGCGGAAAGCGGCACUGAUUUCCCUGGAGCAAAUUACCUCUAUAUCAGCGCCGGAGACAGGCGGUAAUCUGCCUGAUAGAGAGGUGAGGGCGGGAGACGCGGGGCCAGACUGGCGAGGGAGAAAGAGGGCGA